ACCUUUAGAGGAUCUGAUCUCACAAGUUCUUACUGGUCUAGAUGCACACGAAUAUAAUCCUGUGGUGUUCUAGAUACAAGAAAAGGAAAGCAUAUCUUGGCUGGAAAUACAGGCAAAGCUGCUGAGCUACGAAA
rfam:Ricinus communis cultivar Hale ctg_1100012358622, whole genome shotgun sequence.